rnacentral:rRNA from 1 species
GACGAACGCUGGCGGCGUGCUUAACACAUGCAAGUCGAGCGGAAAGGCCCUUCGGGGUACUCGAGCGGCGAACGGGUGAGUAACACGGGAGUAAUCUGCCCGUCACUCUGGGAUAGCCACCGGAAACGGUGAUUAAUAACGGAUAUGCCCAAUCCCAGCAUGGGGUGUUGGGGGAAACUUGAUUGGGUGGGGGAUGUGCUCGCGGCCUAUCAGCUUGUUGGUGGGGUAAUGGCCUACCAAGGCUUCGACGGGUAGCCGGCCUGAGAGGGUGACCGGCCACACUGGGACUGAGACACGGCCCAGACUCCUACGGGAGGCAGCAGUGGGGAAUAUUGGACAAUGGGCGGAAGCCUGAUCCAGCAACGCCGCGUGAGGGAUGACGGCCUUCGGGUUGUAGACCUCUUUCAGCACCGACGAAGCGCAAGUGACGGUAGGUGCAGAAGAAGGACCGGCCAACUACGUGCCAGCAGCCGCCGUAAAAC